AGCUCAGUAAAGGUGGUAGCUGUUAGAUUUCAGGUACUGCAAUUUUCUGUUUUCUUCGUAUCCUCCUGCAAUUCUGGCAUGCUUUAGUUUGAGGCUGUGCAGGUCAGAAAUUAACCUAAGGUUUUCUUCCGUGUUAUGGUUAAAAAAAAAAAAAAAACCGCACUCUUAGGAGAAGUACACUUUGUCAAAGAUUUUAGUGUAAAUACUUUCUGCCAGAGAGCUAGAGAAGUCCCAGCUCAUGUACUGGUCAUGCAAGUUAGUUGUUGAGACUGGGUCACUAGGGAAAAACCGGCAGGAUUUUCUAAUUCAGCGUAGUAUCCACGACCAGGGAGCCAGAGGUGAAGGCUCAACCAAGUCCAGGGAAAACUCAGGGGCUAAAAGUACUUGAUAUCUCAUACAUUUCCACACCAGAGAUCUGAAGCAGGCCAUAUGCAGGGUUUCAGUUGCCAAAACUGGAGAAUUAGGGGAGUAGGUAGAGCAUUACGCGAAGAGGAGCCUAGGAGGCUGGGAACUCUGCCACAAGAUUGAUUCUACCAUCGAUUGUAAGCUUGAGCAGCUAAAGACAUAGGGUCACACGGGCAUUAUCAGUCUCAGAUUCACGAAUGCCAAAAUUUGAAGUGUUUUAAAAGCUAUAUAAUAGAGUUGUUUUAAACCAGGUUACGAGAUUAUGGCUUCACAGAGUUUACCCAGAGAAGUGAGGGUAGCAGAAAGAGGGCUGAGUAAGGCAGGCUCUGGCACUUCCUCCGAUUCAACUAAGUUCGCGCAGGGAGAGAGAAGCCAGAGAUUUAACCGGAAGAACUACAUUGUUUCCAGCCCCCAAGCUGUCCUUGCGCAUCCCUGGGCGGAGGCUGAACCAACUUUGGGAGGAGCCUGGUUUACAGUCUACAGUCUAAAACAAAGAUGAAAACAGCUGCUUCCCAAGAUAACUUCCCUCUUGCCUGGGGACCAGACCAAGAAACUAGCCACAGGAUUAGAAACCAUGGCCCAGGAGCCAUGCAGCUGGAGGUUACAAGAUUUUGACCCUCCCUAAACUGCUCUCAAGAUUGGUGCUUAAGAUAUUUUGUAAACCAUGCCCUUGAUGAUCAGUUGGCACCACCCAGAUUGACAAACUGGCUUAUCUGAUUUAGCACCAGAAGACAGCCACUAUUGUAAAAUAGCAGAGACUAAAACAAAGUAUUGCCAUGCAGUUACAGAUUAUGUUCCCAAGGACAUGAAACGAGAUGGAGGCCUGUAGCCAAUUUUGUUACUAACCGUUUUGUUGGGCUGGCUUGAACAGCAGGCUUUUGGGGUCCUGGGCCUGCAUCCUAACCUAAGAUACCCUUUCUUUGACAGAACCAUAGAGAAAGAUGUGCAAAGCACCCAAGAUUGUCUACAGCUUAAGACCAACAAGUUCUUUUUCAUUAAUUAUACAUUUACAGAGAACAUAAACGGUGAUCCUUAUUAUCCCUUUUACCGGUUUGCACAGGGAGAGAGAAGCCAAAAGCCCAAAUGGUAAGAAAUAUUUACCCUUUUGCCGGCCUAUUAGGCUUCUGGGUUCCCUUCCCCCUAGCUCAACUCUAUACCAAGCAUUUCAAGAUUUGGAAAAUUAACUUUUCCCAGGUUGGAAGUACAUUACAAAAGAGAUAGAAGCCAUUUUAAACCACAAAAGAAGGAAAACACCAUUGAAAGGAGUUCCAAUUAGGGUUGUUAAGAGGUAAUACCUCUCUUCCUUUUAGGAAUGUGGUUUCCCCUGUUUCUUUGCCUUCCCUAUUUUCUCUUUUCCCUUCUGGCCUACACUAUAGGAGACAUAUUGCUCAUCUCCAAAAUUUUCUUCUGCUUGCAGAGCUGCCUGUUUUAGCUGCAGUGAAGGUUUGUUUGACUCAGCAGCAACAUAACAUCCCUCCAUGUGAGGUCACAUACCUGAGCUAAAUGUUGGAAAGGUUCUAUAUGCCUAUCAGCGUUGUUAGAAAAUCAGCCUCAGUUUCCCUUUACUUGCCUAAGGUCCCGCAACGAGAAGGAAACUUGAAAAGGGGCCCCAAAUAAGAGGACCCUCAGAUGACUUCCCUGGAAGUUACUUUUUUUAAUUUUGGGGAACUAUUUUCCCUAGGCCUGCCUGAUAUGGCUGCAAAAGAAAAUAAGCCACUUUUUAUUCCAAGUUUCAAGGUUGAAGGAGUCCCAGUGCUUCAAAAUACACUCCAGGGGAGUGCAUGUUGAAGAUGAUCUGUUACCCAUCUAGAAAGGGAAGUGAGAAUAAAAGCGUCCUUUUAGUCUCUUUCCUUUCGGUAUGUGAUCCAGGAUGGAGAUGAAAACAGUAGACGGUGUCCCCACAACUAUUUUCUCUCCAUCGUUCCUGGAUUCCCCCUGCACCCAUUUAAAUGUGCCAGCCAUGACUGCAGGCAUGACCCUCCAAGCCAUGGCACCAGAGGAACUGACUUUUGGGCCAUAGUCACGCUGUCCCCAAUCAAUCAGUCCUCUACUUUUUAUUUCCCUUUACCUCCUAGACUUGUGUGGCCUGUGUGCCCUCUGAAAAAUGGAUUUCAAGAAAAACCCUGUAAUUGGGCAAGGCUGUUAAAGGGGGCAGGUGUGCUAGAUUGAACUCCAUAUCCUGCGAUUAUAGCCCAUGCUAAAGCAUUUACCCAUAAAAAAAAUGGUUCUGGUUAACUUCUGGACUUAAAAAGCCCCUUAUUAAUUAAGUACUGUCUUAAUAGAAGACAAAAUCAACGCCUUAAAGGAACGUAGGAACCCGAACGGCCGUUUUUCUGCCAGUGGGGCAAUAUCGAGACUAAAAUUUGGCUAUGGAAGACAUCUUAUUCAUGACUGUUAAAAGCAGAAACUUCCUGUUCCUAGAAGAGGUCUAGAGCCUGAUUUCUACUAGGUGGCUUAGCAAUACCAUGUGCUUGCCAGAGAAACCUUAGAGAGAGCGAGCUAUUGAGUUACUGCCUACGGCAAUUUGAGAUCUUUUCUAACAUAACUGAUCCCUGAACUGUAAAGAUUCCUGCAUAUGGGUGGAUCACGAGGUCAGCAGAUCGAGACCACCCUGGCCAACUGGUGAAACCCCAUCUCGACCAAAAAUACAAAAAAAUUAGCCAGGCAUGGUGGCAAA
rnacentral:lncRNA from 10 species